rnacentral:rRNA from 1 species
AUUGAACGCUGGCGGCAGGCUUAACACAUGCAAGUCGAGCGGAGCGAGGGUGCUUGCACCUUAGCUUAGCGGCGGACGGGUGAGCAAUGCUUAGGAAUCUGCCUAUUAGAGGGGGACAACAUUCCGAAAGGAAUGCUAAUACCGCAUACGCCCUACGGGGGAAAGCGGGGGAUCUUCGGACCUUGCGCUAAUAGAUGAGCCUAAGUCGGAAUAGCUAGUUGGUGGGGUAAAGGCCUACCAAGGCGACGAUCUGUAGCGGGUCUGAGAGGAUGAUCCGCCACACUGGGACUGAGACACGGCCCAGACUCCUACGGGAGGCAGCAGUGGGGAAUAUUGGACAAUGGGCGGAGGCCUGAUCCAGCCAUGCCGGGUGUGUGAAGAAGGCCUUUUGGUUGUAAAGCACUUUAAGCGAGGAGGAGGCUACUUAGAUUAAUACUCUGGGAUAGUGGACGUUACUCGCAGAAUAAGCACCGGCUAACUCUGUGCCAGCCGCCGCGGUAA